rnacentral:lncRNA from 1 species
AAUAUGUGGACAGGACCUUAAUCAGCAUCCUGGAAGUGGAAAGCACGGAAGGCCUGUGUCCCACAUCACAGACAGGUAAUGCGUUGCUCCUUAAGCAGGGGCCUGUUUGACGGAUAGUCCCAUCUAAUACUCACCGCACAUUUUAGCCUCAGAGCGAAACGUGCUGCGCACUCCGUCUGACUCGUCAGCCGAACAAACUCUCCUCUCUCUGCUUCUAGGUGCAGCGUGUAGCCAAAGCAGCACAGGGGGGGGGCCCCGUGGGGAGGAGGGGGCGGUGCAGCAGCGCACCCCUCCGGCUGUGGGUGUGCUGGGCGGCGACCCCCGGGAGGCUGCGCGGGAUGUGGAAGGGUCAUCCCAGCAUGCCCCGCAGCCGGUCACUGCUGAGAGGUGCCGGCACAUCGGUGAGAAGAACGUGUGCCCGGAGAAUUGCCCCGCCAUUGACCCAGAGGAGCCCGGUCUCUCUACAGAGUGUCACAAACACUCUGAUACACAGACAGAUAAAGCUUUGCAGUAUUCCCAUUUCGGGCCACAGGCUGAUAACAGUGGGCACCCAGGCAGGCCGGCGAGUGGGACAGAGUGGGUUGAUGUUGAAGCAGGCCGGGACCACGCGCUGCAGCCGGGAAGUACAGGUGGACUGGUGGUCAUCAGUGGCACAGACACGGGACAGGAUCUCCCGGAGAAUGAGAAAUUGGAAUAUAAACGUGAGUUUGGAACGGAGGAACAUGCCGGUGUACGUUCAUCAACAAACCUCCCCUCGGAAUCCUGCUCAACAGCCUCCCCUCUUACCCUCAGCCCAAAUAAAGAUACAGUCCCGCACCGCGCACAAGAAAGAGGAAUGGAUCGGCCGCGGACAACUCCGCCUACUCCGGCCAGCCAGGCCAGCCAUGUACCUCUGUCUCAAGUCAGCGAGAAACCAGGCCUUCCCCCAAAUGCUGAGCACCCUCCACCCCCGGGGCCCAUCACAGGCCAUAACGAUGGGACACAAACGGACGUCUCCACGGGACCUAAAAUCACUACGCAGGACUCGAGUGAUGGCAAGGGAGCAAUAUGUGGUGCUAGUGCAGAUGAGCGGGGACCACAGGAAACGGGAGGAUCUACAGGGAAGUGCGAGACCGGACGUGCCACGCACGGGAGUUCACACCCACCGACGCCGCUCCCAUCAACUAAAGUGUCAUGGACCCCUCAGGGGGGAGAGACACACCCCGGACUGGUCCCCUACACACCACCUGGCAGUGGAAAUUCCACCCCGAACUACUCAGCCGAGCGACAGGGAAGCGAGAGCGACCCCCAGAACAGUCCCCCACGUGCAGCAGUGGAACAGACGGAGACCAACAGGGCAGAGGUGGACCCUGAAGUUGCCGAUCUCUCGCCGGACCUUACGAUCCGGCCACAAAGCUCUCCUCGUCCGGAGAUGCCCAGCACGGCACCAACGGCGCCAGCCCCUGCCGUCUGCCACCUCCACAGGACAGAACUAGACUUAAUGCAGACAGACCAGCCUGUCCAAGUUCAGACUGCCGAUUCGGACACCCCACUGGCCUCUGAGCUCUCGAUCCCGGCGAUUGCUCACGGCGCCGUGGUGCUUGGCGGAGAGAGCGGCCUGGAGUUUUCAGAGGAGUUGCAAGUGAAUCAGUGUGUCUUCCUGAAAGAACAUGUUAGCGGGGACGCUGCUGUUGUUGAGUUGCACGCUGAUCUCUCUGCCGGAGAACCCAAGUCAUUUAUAGAAGGGACCCAUUCAGAAAUCGGAAUGGCUUCGCUGGCUGGGGCAGAAUUUGAGAUUUAUAGCUUUGUGGAGGAGGAGAUUGCGACAGAGGUUGUCGAAGACCGGCUGUCUCUCUCCCCGAGCUAUGAGGUAAACUUAUUCACCCCGGUCAUUGAACACUCCGAGAGUGAGGGACAACACAUACACGUAUUGUCUUCCCUGCAAAUGGCUAAUGACGACAGUCACGUCGUCUUGCAGCACGGCCCCCUUACGUCAGAUCACGGCCUCUUAGAAAUGGAGGUGUGCUCAAAUGACUUCACCCCAACCAUCUCCCCACACGACACGGGGAUGUCUGAUGAAGGGCAGAAUUUCCAGGCCGAAAACACAACUGCGGAAGUGUCCGCGGCGGAAGGGUCGGCUAAUAUCUGUUUGAUUCCGACUGUCCCCGUCUUGGAUACGCCACAUGUACGGACAAACGCCGCCACGGAAGCCACGACUCGGUGUCCGGAGGCCGUCCCGGACCACAGAAGGGUGGACGUCGCCGUGGCCGCCUCCUUCGGUGACGCACAAACGCUGCCAGGGCGGACUGGAACGGGAGUGACGGCCAGUACGUCUUCCCUGGUCGUCCCAAUGGCAGAAUUAACAGAGGAGCUUGUGGAGUCAACCGGUCAGCGCUGCGCAGAGGUCCUCUCAUCCCCGAACACCGUACAUCUGUUAGAGAGCGGCGUGAUGAACUGUCCUUCACUAGACCAGGCCCCGGGACUCUCCUUAGAAAAUACCACCAUAUCCGAGCCCUGUUCUUUGUCUGUUGACGGGUCCAGUGAUCCAGAGCCCUGUCCCGCUGCCAUAGAAAUGCCGAUGCAGAUCCAGCAGGACAUUGAUUGUGCCGUUACUGUGACGACAGCCAAGGACAGCCCAGGGGCUUCCCAGUGCGCACUCCCUCCCGGCAUCAUCGACCCAAGUCUUCUCCUCCUAAAGCCCGAGGACACGGCCCUCCUCAAACGCCCGCCCUCCUUCCUGUUGGGGACGACCAGACUGCCGAGCGACGGCCGGGCACAGACCGGCGUCAGCGGCUUGGACACAGCGCCUGCAAUGGAGUGCCUUCCCGAAGCCGCGCUGGGACCUGCGCCGGCGUGCGUCUCUGUCGACCGCCACGAAGAGCAGAGCAUGUCACGUGUGGACUUGGAGCCCGGCGCGACAUCGUCUUCUACGCUCACCACGAACACCGCGUUGCAGCGCCGUCUCUCUAACCCCGCGCCAUGCAGAUCCGACGACGAGGCCUUAACUCCGAUCAAAGCGUCCCCGGGGCCAGCGGGGACCGUUUUGCGAACCCUGGACCCUCCCGACGCCCCGCCUGAGCACUUCUCCGGCCACAUGUUGCCCUCAACCUCGGGCAGUGUGUCUAGGGGUAAGCUCUUCGGUUACUCCAGCGACGGUGGCCAGGCCGGGCCACCGCCGGUCAUCCGGCCACGGCUUGCCGGUGUGAAGGGCCCGGGGUUCGGCGGCCCCAAGGACGAGAGCAGUGAUGGAGAGGAUGACCUGGCAGAGGAGGACAAGGCCAGCCACCGAAGCAUGGGUUCCCCCGGUGGAGCGGAGAGCAAGGUACGCCAGUGGAUAGCUGACAGGGUCACGCCAAGUUCAUCUCCCGUGUCCCCUGGUCCUGACCCAUCCUCCUCCAGUGACUGGACCCCCAGCACCACUCCAAUCCCUCUCAGAGGCGCCCAUGGCAGGUUCCUCUCUCCUCCCACUACGGGCCCUGGGGGUUCCUCCCCGUCGGACCCGGUCACCCCCCAUCGCCCUCGAAUGGAGCGCCACGCCGACAUGGCCGAGCUGGCCAAACACGAAGCGGAGAUAGAGGGCAGGACCCUAGCACUGAAAAAGGAAGGAUUCUGGUCGAUGAAGCGACUGACCCGUUUGACGGAGCCAGUCCGAACCAAGGUGCACUGGGACUACCUGUGUGAGGAAAUGCAGUGGCUCUCGGCAGACUUUGCCCAGGAGAGAAGGUGGAAAAGAGGGGUCGCCAGGAAGGUGGUGCGGAUGGUGAUGCGUCACCACGAGGACCUGCGGCAGAAAGAGGAGAAGGCGAAGAGGGACGAGCACGCCAAAAUCAGACGGGUCGCCUCCAACAUUGCCAAGGAGGUGCGGGCCUUCUGGAGCAGCGUGGAGAAGGUGGUGCAGUACAAGCAGCAGUCCCGGCUGGAGGAGAAGCGGAAGAAGGCUCUGGACCUCCAGCUGGACUUCAUCGUGGGCCAGACGGAGAAAUACUCCGACCUCCUCAGCCAGGCCCUGGAAACGGCCCCGGCUGGGAUCAGUGAACCUGCGUCCUCACCGCACAGACGACAUCUUCCGCCUGCCGUGGAUGAGGAGGAUAGAGACUUUGAGCCUCCAUGUGGUGAGGAGGAGGAUGACGAGGAGACCAUCGAUGUGGAGGAGGCGCAGGAUGGCAAUGAUGCUGAGACCCAGAGGAGAGAGAUUGAGCUGCUAAGACAGGAGGGGACCAUGUCCCUGGCGGAGCUGCUGAGUACCCUCAAAAGGCCCCAGUCACAGGUGGGUCCCACCCUCAAAAGUUUGGUGGACACUGACUUUCCUCCUACCCAGGAUUCAGAAGAUGAGGAAGAGUGCUCAGACAACUCGUCUACGACGGUGGACGAAGACGAGGAGUUCACAGCCAACGAAGAAGAUGCGGAAGACGAGGAGGACACCAUUGCAGCCCAGGAGAUCGUGGAGGGGGAGGCCAAUCACGCCGACGAGCUGGACGACUUGGCCAAGGAAGGUGACAUGAGUAUGGAGGAGCUGCUGGAGAAGUAUAAAGGAGCAUACGCCUCUGAUUUCGAGGAGCCCUCAACAUCCGCCUCCCCCGCUAGCUCGGACCAGUCUGAAAACUCUGGAGAAGAAGAUGAGGAGGAGGAGGAGAGCGAGGAAGAUGAAAGUGACGUGGAAAAUAGUGAAGAGGAAGAGGUCAGUGAAAACGAGGAGGACAGUAAUGAAGACGAGUGUGACGAGGGGAUGGAGAUCUUGCUGAAGGAGGGGGACCACAGCCCCCCACUACCAGCCGGCCAGCGACCCAAGAAGGAGAUCAGCCACAUUGCCGCCACGGCAGAGAGCCUGCAGCCCAAAGGCUACACCCUGGCCACAACCAAGGUCAAAACUCCCAUUCCGUUCCUGCUGGUGGGCCAGCUGCGGGAGUACCAGCACAUUGGCCUGGACUGGCUGGUCACCAUGUACGAGAAGAAGCUCAACGGCAUCCUGGCUGACGAGAUGGGCCUGGGGAAGACCAUCCAGACCAUCGCCUUGCUCGCUCACCUGGCCUGUGAAAAGGGUAACUGGGGGCCUCACCUGAUCAUCGUGCCGACCAGUGUGAUGCUGAACUGGGAGAUGGAGCUGAAGCGUUGGUGUCCUGGAUUCAAAAUCCUCACUUACUACGGCAGUCAGAAGGAGAGGAAACUGAAGAGACAGGGAUGGACGAAGCCCAAUGCCUUCCACGUGUGCAUCACCUCAUACAAGCUGGUGCUCCAGGACCACCAGGCCUUUCGACGCAAGUCCUGGCGGUACCUGAUCCUGGACGAGGCCCAGAACAUCAAGAACUUCAAGUCCCAGCGCUGGCAGAGCCUGCUGAACUUCAACAGCCAGAGGCGGUUGCUCCUGACGGGCACCCCUCUACAGAACAGCCUGAUGGAGCUGUGGUCCCUCAUGCACUUCCUCAUGCCCCACGUCUUCCAGUCCCACCGGGAGUUCAAGGAGUGGUUCUCCAACCCGCUCACCGGCAUGAUCGAGGGCAGCCAGGAGUACAACGAGGGCCUGGUCAAGAGGCUGCACAAGGUGCUCCGGCCGUUCCUUCUGAGGAGAAUCAAGGCGGACGUGGAGAAGCAGAUGCCUAAGAAGUACGAGCAUGUGGUCCGUUGCCGUCUGUCCAAGAGACAGCGUUUCCUCUACGAUGACUUCAUGGCACAGGCCUCCACUCGGGAAACGCUGGCCAGCGGUCACUUCAUGUCUGUGAUCAACAUCUUGAUGCAGCUCCGUAAAGUGUGUAACCACCCCAACCUGUUUGACCCGCGGCCAAUCCACUCCCCCUUCAUCACCAAGCCCAUCAUAUUCCACACAGCCUCCCUGGUGCAGCAAGCCCUGGAGAUCUCUCCAUUUAAGCGCUGUGACCUGUCCAUGUUUGACCUGCUGGGUCUAGAGGGCAGGGUUUCCCGCUACCAGGCCGACGUCUUUCUGCCCCGCCGGAAGGUCACCCGCCGGCUGAUCCAGGAGGUCAUGGAGUCCCCCGAGCCCCCGCCCCGCCCCAAACCCGUCCGCAUGAAGGUGAACAGGAUGUUCCAGCCACUACCGAAGGCGGACAGUCGCACCAUGCUGGUGGUGAACAACCCCCGGCCCACGUGUCCCGUCACCCCUGCUGCCCAAGCCCUGAGGCCCCCUUCCAUCCAGGAGGUCACCACGACCCCCACACCUUCAUCGCCGGUCCACCAGAGGCUAGCAGGACUCCGCUAUGUUCAGUAUUUCUGGUGGAGACCAGACACAGUGUGGCUGAAAUCCUGCCUUGUCUCGUUUCAUGAAACCUCAGCCGUGUGUUCGGUGGCCCCCACCGCCCCGCCGCGCCCGCCCACGCACCCCGGUGGCCCCUCGGUGGCGGGCACUGCCGCCCGGGCCGGCUCCCCGAUGCCGGUCGUGGCGGUGCGCCCGCCCACCUCCUCCGGCGCCCCCAGGCACCCCACCCCUCCUCCCAGCAACCUGAUGACCCAGAGAGUUCUGCUCAGCCCGGACAUGCAGGCCCGGCUUCCUUCCGGAGAGGUGGUGAGCAUCGCCCAGCUGGCGUCGCUGGCCGGUCGUCCCGUUUCGUCCUGCCAGGGCAGUAAGCCUGUCACCUUCCAGCUGCAGGGCAACAAACUCACCCUGUCUGGAACCCAGCUCCACCAGGUUCCUGUGGCCCCUGCGCGCCCGGUACAAGGUCAGCGUGGGGUUCUUACUGGUCUAGCUCUUACUGCUGCCUUUGCAGGUAAUGUCAUGCACCUGGUGACCAGCGGAGGGCAGCACCACCUCAUCAGCCAGCCAGCCCAGGUGGCGGUGUUCAGUUCAGCCAGCACCCACGCCGCCGCCUCCCCUGCGCCUUCGGGAAUCCAGCUGCCCAGGUCCAGUAGCAGUCAAGAGGUUCUGACAUUUCUUCCCUCCCCAGUGCCCUCAUCCAUGGUGACCGGCUCUGGAAUUGUGAAGAUCGUUGUGCGCCAGUCGAGCAAGGAAGGAGGGGGGGUUCCGACGCUGGCUGUGCCCCCUUCGCCCCGGCUCGCCCCACAGGCAUCACCCUCCACCCUCCACCACGCCAACCCCGCUUUGAGAACUCAUGCCCCCUUGCAGACAUCACAUCGCCACCCCGGACCCGCCACCGCUCAGUACACCCUGGCCCCGCCCAGAACUCCUACCUCAGUCACAAUUAGGACCUCCACCCCAGCGCCCCCUCGUACCUCCACUCCGGCGCCGCCUCGAAUCCCUACACCUGCCCCUUCACGAACCCCGGCCCCGCCUCGAAUCCCUACGCCGGCCCCCCCUCGUACGUCUACGCCGGCCCCCCCUCGUACGUCUACGCCAGCCCCUCCACGUAUUCCUACCUCAGCCCCUGGUCAGUCUCCGAACCCUCAACCUGUCCAGAAGGCAGAAAAGGGCCCAGCAGAGACCAGCCUGGAACAGAAAGGUGAGGAGAUGGGAUCCAAAUUAAAUAAAACGGGCCCUUUAUUUCCGGUCCUUAUAUUGAAUGUUAUUUUUUUUUUGUCCUCUCCAGCUCGUGUGAAUUCUUCGUCGUCGUCGUCCUCACGAGAGGACAGUAGUGAAACGAAGUCAGCCGUUCCUAAAUCGGGGUCCCACGUUGGUGGAUUUGUCCCCCCUCGGCCUCGGGCACAACCACGUCCACCUCCUCGCUCCCCCUUCUUCAUGGUACUUUCAUUACAGAGCCGCAAGAAGCAGCGAGAUGGACGGCUGACUCAGAUCGUCCAGAUCAACGACCUCCACUGCAGCGCCAGUCCGGUGUAUGGCUACGAGGUGCUGGACUUCCUCACUUUCCUCCCAGGCCUCUGUCCCACUCCGGCCCGCCAGGCCCUGGGUCACUGGGGCAGCUCGGGCCACGCCGCCUGCCUGUUCGCCCAGUUUACAUUUGUGAUCCCGCCGGUGGAGGCUCCGCCCAUCACCCUGCACACCUGUCACCCUCCCCCGUCUCUGAGCCACCAGCAGGCCAUGUUCACCUCGGGUCUCUCCGCCCUGGUGGCUCCGCUAACCCGCAGUCUGCACCGCAUCCAGUGCAACAUGAGGACCCACUUCCCCGACCUGAGGCUCAUCCAGUACGACUGCGGUAAGCUGCAGACCCUCCACACUCUGUUGCGGCGGCUGAAGGAGGGUCAACACAGGGUGCUCAUCUUCACCCAGAUGACCCGCAUGCUGGACGUGCUGGAGCAGUUCCUCAACUACCACGGACACAUCUACCUCCGCCUGGACGGCAGCACCCGCAUCGAGCAGAGACAGUCCUUGAUGGAUCGUUUCAACGCCGAUCGACGAAUCUUCUGCUUCAUCCUGUCCACGCGUAGCGGAGGCGUGGGCGUGAACCUGACGGGCGCCGACACGGUGGUGUUCUACGACAGUGACUGGAACCCGACCAUGGACGCCCAGGCCCAGGAUCGCUGCCACCGCAUCGGACAGACCCGCGACGUUCACAUCUACAGGUUGAUCAGUGAGCGCACGGUUGAGGAAAACAUUCUGAAGAAGGCCAACCAGAAGAGGAUGCUGGGAGACAUGGCCAUUGAAGGAGGCAACUUCACCACUGCCUUCUUCAAACAGCAAACCAUCAGGGAGCUAUUUGACGUGACGGAGGGGGAGAAGAAGGAGGCCGUGGUGGAGCUCACCGUACCCCAGCCUGAAGAAGAAGAGGCAGUCAAUAAACAGAGCACCACCAUCCUGGAGCAGGCCCUGUGUCGCGCAGAGGACGAGGAGGACAUAGUCGCGGCCUCCCAAGCCAAAGCGGAGCAGGUAGCUGAGCUGGCCGAGUUCAACGAGGCCAUCCCGUUGGAUGAAGCCGGUGAAGGGAGGGACCCGGAAGAGGAGGAGCUUUCCAAGGCUGAGCAGGAGAUAGCAGCUCUGGUGGAGCAGCUUACUCCUAUAGAGCGCUAUGCUAUGAACUUCCUGGAGGCCUCGCUGGAAGAUGUGUGCAAGGAGGAAUUGAAGCAAGCAGAGGAGCAGGUGGAGGCAGCCAGGAAGGGGCUGGACCAGGCCAAGGAGGAGGACGACUUCUCGUCACAACCAGCGGAGGAGCCCUCGGUCCCCGGGUCAGGCCGGCGCCCACGGAAACACAGAGAGAAAGGCGCUCCCUCCACCAGGACCAGUGGCAGGCUCAGGGGGACCAUGGCCACCUCUCCAGAGCCGGAGCCAGACAGAGAAGUGCCCGACAGACUCCGUCCGGCUCCAAGGGCACGAGGGGGGACCAAAGACACCACCACCACUCCAUCCCGCACGGAGCAUCUCAGGCCACACGCCAAAACUGCAGAGACAUCUCCUGCCUCUCCUUCUAGAGACUUGGCAGUGCUGCCUCACCGCAACAAGGCCCACUCCAGCUCAGUGCCUUCCACUGCCACCAGUCCUCCAACUGGGAAACCGGAGAUGGUGGAGUCUGAUACACGGUCGCCCAGGAGGGAGAAGGGGGUGUGUGCCUCGCCAGAGUCCACAUGUCCUGUGGACCACCAGUCAUACUCUGCCCAGGCCAGGGAUGAUGACAGCAGAGACCAGGAGUCCCUGUUGCCCCCCUCUGUGUGCUCCCGGUCGCCGCGCAAGCGCCAGUCUGCCGAUGGUGAGGUCCUGCUGGGCCUUCCGGAACAUUCCCCGUCGGCCAAGGUCCUGCGGAAGCUCCCUGGUCGCCUGGUUACGGUGGUGGAGGAAAAGGAGCCCAGGAAGAGGAGGAGAAGAGGCAGCGGAACGGGAGGAGGCUCAUCCGAGGAGAUGGAGCAUGCAGAGUCGGAAUUCCCCUCAACACACUCUGUUCCACCGAGAGGCUUCCCCCCUUACUCCCCGCCACACCACUCCCCUGACAUGCCGGUACUGAGGAACCUGCCAGUGCGACAACGUCUGGAGAGUGAGUCUCUUCAGCCCGGAAAAGACUGCAACGUUUCCCCAGGCACUAAUGUCACUAACUCAACCCCGCCGGUGAAGCGCAAGAGGGGCCGACCACCCAAGACUCCCCCGAGGGUGGCGGAACCGCAGCCAGAUCACGUAUCCCAUCCCCAGCCCAACUCACCGUGU